AUGCAAGUCGAACGGCUAACAGGAUUNGCUUGCUNNUCGCUGACGAGUGGCGGACGGGUGAGUAAUGCUUGGGAACUUGCCUUUGCGAGGGGGAUAACAGUUGGAAACGACUGCUAAUACCGCAUAANGUCUACGGACCAAACGGGGCUUNGGCUCCGGCGCAAAGAGAGGCCCAAGUGAGAUUAGCUAGUUGGUAAGGUAAAGGCUUACCAAGGCAACGAUCUCUAGCUGUUCUGAGAGGAAGAUCAGCCACACUGGAACUGAGACACGGUCCAGACUCCUACGGGAGGCAGCAGUGGGGAAUAUUGCACAAUGGGGGAAACCCUGAUGCAGCCAUGCCGCGUGUGUGAAGAAGGCCUUCGGGUUGUAAAGCACUUUCAGUUGUGAGGAAAAGUUAGUAGUUAAUACCUGCUAGCCGUGACGUUAACAACAGAAGAAGCACCGGCUAACUCCGUGCCAGCAGCCGCGGUAAUACGGAGGGUGCGAGCGUUAAUCGGAAUUACUGGGCGUAAAGCGCACGCAGGCGGUUUGUUAAGCUAGAUGUGAAAGCCCCGGGCUCAACCUGGGAUGGUCAUUUAGAACUGGCAGACUAGAGUCUUGGAGAGGGGAGUGGAAUUCCAGGUGUAGCGGUGAAAUGCGUAGAUAUCUGGAGGAACAUCAGUGGCGAAG
rnacentral:rRNA from 1 species